AGGUGAUUUAUUGUUUCAGGUGCUGCCCACGCAGUUAAAAGGGAACCCUGUGAAAGUCAGGGACGGUCCCGCCGCUGUAACCGGGGAUGAACGCCACACACAACCACUGAUGAGACAUACACGGGAAGGGGUGGCUGGUAAAAAGAUCCGGAAGUCAGAAGACCUGCCUGAACAGUUGAUCGUAU
rnacentral:ncRNA from 2 species